rnacentral:tRNA from 1 species
GCCCAGCUGGCUCAAUAGGAAGAGCACUUAAUUCUUAAUCUUGGGUCGUGAGUUCAAGCCCCAUGUUAGGUG